UACGGGGGGGGGCAAGCGUUGUUCGGAAUUACUGGGCGUAAAGGGCUCGUAGGUGGCCAACUAAGUCAUACGUGAAAUCCCUCGGCUUAACCGGGGAACUGCGUGUGAUACUGGAUGGCUUGAGUUCGGGAGAGGGAUGCGGAAUUCCAGGUGUAGCGGUGAAAUGCGUAGAUAUCUGGAGGAACACCGGUGGCGAAGGCGGCGUCCUGGACCAACACUGACACUGAGGAGCGAAAGCGUGGGGAGCGAACAGG
rnacentral:rRNA from 1 species